rfam:Moellerella wisconsensis ATCC 35017 Sequence00027, whole genome shotgun sequence.
AAUGUUACCAAGCCUUGUCUUCUGUUUCUUUUUUAGCACCUUCUAUUAGGGGGCGUUUGUCAUUUCAGAAGAAAAAAAAGACAAAGUUUAAAAGCCUCCUCUCACAGGGAGGCUUUUUUAUU